rnacentral:rRNA from 1 species
CGGUGACGAUAGCUGGAGGGCACCACCUGUACCUAUACCGAACACAGAAGUUAAACCUCCAAACGCUGAUGGUACUGAGCUGGGAACGGCUUGGGAGAGUAGGAAGUUGCCG